GCCAUUGUUAUACUGAAUUGAUUCAUGUAUCUCAUGUUUCUCUCAGAGAAAUCCUCUUCUCAAACACAUCACAAAUGUGAGAUGGGCUUUUGUAGAUGUAGUACCUGAUUAUUUACUUGGGCAAAGCUGCUGUGCUCUCUAUCUAAGGCGCUACUACUUCAAAUCCCAGCACUUCAUAAUUCAUUUUCAUUUAAAAGGUUUUGCCACAAUUCAUUGGAGCAAUAAAGCCAUAUUUACGCCAAUUCAUUGAUGUAUAGGCUUUUUUGUAGGUUUGGUAGGAUUUUUUUUUAAAAUAUAGUUAUUUAAAUAGUUUGUUCGUACCAAAACACAUUUGUACCGACAAUUAAAACAAUAUUACAAAGUGUG